UCCCUGGUGGCUCAGAUGGUAAAGCAUCUGCCUACAAUGCGGGAGACCCAGGUUCAGUCCCUGGGUUGGGAA
rfam:TPA: Bos taurus chromosome 27, whole genome shotgun sequence.